GUCUGAGUGAAGGUGAGGAAAGUGGCGGACGGGUGAGUAACGCGUGAGCAAUCUGCCUUGGAGUGGGGAAUAACGGCUGGAAACAGCCGCUAAUACCGCAUGAUGUGUCUGUCUCGCAUGGGGUGGACACCAAAGAUUUAUCGCUCUGAGAUGAGCUCGCGUCUGAUUAGCUAGUUGGCGGGGUAACGGCCCACCAAGGCGACGAUCAGUAGCCGGACUGAGAGGUUGGCCGGCCACAUUGGGACUGAGACACGGCCCAGACUCCUACGGGAGGCAGCAGUGGGGAAUAUUGGGCAAUGGGCGC
rnacentral:rRNA from 1 species